rnacentral:rRNA from 1 species
GACGAACGCUGGCGGCGUGCCUAAUACAUGCAAGUUGAGCGCUGAAGGUUGGUACUUGUACCAACUGGAUGAGCAGCGAACGGGUGAGUAACGCGUGGGGAAUCUGCCUUUGAGCGGGGGACAACAUUUGGAAACGAAUGCUAAUACCGCAUAAAAACUUUAAACACAAGUUUUAAGUUUGAAAGAUGCAAUUGCAUCACUCAAAGAUGAUCCCGCGUUGUAUUAGCUAGUUGGUGAGGUAAAGGCUCACCAAGGCGAUGAUACAUAGCCGACCUGAGAGGGGGGUCGGCCACAUUGGGACUGAGACACGGCCCAAACUCAUACGGGAGGCAGCAGUAGGGAAUCUUCGGCAAUGGACGAAAGUCUGACCGAGCAACGCCGCGUGAGUGAAGAAGGUUUUCGGAUCGUAAAACUCUGUUGGUAGAGAAGAACGUUGGUGAGAGUGGAAAGCUCAUCAAGUGACGGUAACUACCCAGAAAGGGACGGCUAACUACGUG